GGAUCCCAUCAGAACUCCGAAGUUAAGCGUGCUUGGGCGAGAGUAGUAGCUAGGAUAGGUGACCUCCUGGGAAGUCCUCGUGUUGCAUUCCC
rnacentral:rRNA from 1 species